AAGUGCCUCGAGAGUCCCCACUGCACCAAGCACUCAAUAUAAGUCUGCUGAACCAAUCUGAACUGAGAAAAGCAGGUGUAUUUCUGUGAUACUUAUUUCCUCACUAACGACUCAAGUAAAGAUACUCACCUAAAAUUCUACUUGCUUGUUUCUGGGUUUUCUACGACUGCUACUUCUGUGGCUGAAAUCUAACUGCUAGUUGAUCCAUCUCGAUCAGUCAUAACUCAUUUAGUGAGUGUCUACUAUGUUCUGAGCGUUGUGAACAAUUAGAAUCAGAAGUACAAAAGGAGAUUCGUACUUCUGAGGAGAUUAGAACUUUGAUAAUUUUCCUGGAAAUUAAAAACAAUAUCAUUUGCAACAGAGCAUUUUUAAUAGAAAGAACAUGAAAACAAUUCUUUUCCUUCUUACUGUCUAAAAAUGUUUGAUUAUCAGCUCACUCAAGGUUCCCAACCACAGGGGUCUAGUUUUUGUUCAGCAGCCAAGGUCUGCUGAAAAAAAAAUCAAAUAAAGCAUUGUAGGGCAAUGUAUAUUUUUGGGCAAUAAAAAGGCUCUAGAAGUUAGAAAGCAACUACAGACCAAAGCAGGAAAAGGUGAGGACCCGUUUUCUUUUUUUUUUUUUUUAAUUUGGAAACAAAAAUAUUUAUUUGAAGUAAAUCAGCCUCUUACAAUUGGGAAUAAUUGGCUGGGUGUGGUGGCUCACACCUGUAAUCCCAGCACUUUGGGAGGCCAAGGCAGUUGGAUCAUGAGGUCAAGAGAUUGAGACCAUCCUGGUCAACAUGGUGAAAUCCCGUCUCUACUAAAAAAAAAAAAAUAUACAAAAAUUAGCUGGGCAUGGUGGCACGUGCCUGUAGUCCCAGCUACUUGGGAGGCUGAGGCAGGAGAAUUGCCUGAACCCAGGAGGCGGAGGUUGCGCUGAGUGGAGAUCACGCCAUUGCACUCCAGCCUGGGUAACAAGAGUGAAACUCUGUCUCAAAAAAAAAAGGGAAUAAUUAACUACAAUUGUUAGGUGUUCACUGAACAUCUUGAGGGCUUAAGCCAGA
rnacentral:lncRNA from 1 species